rnacentral:rRNA from 1 species
GUCGAACGGCGAGGAGGGCUUGCUUUCUCGAGCGAGUGGCGAACGGGUGAGUAACGCGUGAGGACCUGCCUCAAAGAGGGGGACAACAGUUGGAAACGACUGCUAAUACCGCAUAAGUCGGCAUCGAAAAAAGAGCAAUCCGCUUUGAGAUGGCCUCGCGUCCGAUUAGCUAGUUGGUGAGGUAAUGGCCCACCAAGGCAACGAUCGGUAGCCGGACUGGGAGGUUGAACGGCCACAUUGGGACUGAGACACGGCCCAGACUCCUACGGGAGGCAGCAGUGGGGAAUAUUGCGCAAUGGGGGAAACCCUGAUGCAGCGACGCCGCGUGGAGGAAGAAGGUCUUCGGAUUGUAAACUCCUGUUGUUGAGGAAGAUAAUGACGGUACUCAACAAGGAAGUGACGGCUAACUACGUGCCAGCAGCCGCGGUAAAACGUAGGUCACAAGCGUUGUCCGGAAUUACUGGGUGUAAAGGGAGCGCAGGCGGGAAGACAAGUUGGAAGUGAAAUCUAUGGGCUCAACCCAUAAACUGCUUUCAAAACUGUUUUUCUUGAGUAGUGCAGAGGUAGGCGGAAUUCCCGGUGUAGCGGUGGAAUGCGUAGAUAUCGGGAGGAACACCAGUGGCGAAGGCGGCCUACUGGGCACCAACUGACGCUGAGGCUCGAAAGUGUGGGUAGCAAACAGGAUUAGAUACCCUGGUAGUCCACACCGUAAACGAUGAUUACUAGGUGUUGGAGGAUUGACCUUCAGUGCCGCAGUUAACACAAUAAGUAAUCCACCUG